CCCCUCCUUUCGGUAACUUGUCCUCUCCGUUCAAUCCGAACUCACACGAAGCAUGUCCCGCAGCGAUAUAGCCCCAGUCAUGCAGAGGCAAAACGAAAGCGAUGAGAUCCAGCAGUGACGGAAGUUUAAUUCCAAUGGACUAUGAGCGUUUCAAUGUCUUAAAGACGAGGAAAGCAUUCGAGUCAAUACAACAACUGACCACCAAACUGAUUCACGUGGACAAUCAAUAGGAUAGCAUGCAUUUCCAUCUGUCCAUCUUGAAACGAGUUUGUAGUGACGGCUUCGGUCUGCAUGCGAAUAUGGCUCAAAAAUGACCAAUGCAUCGUCUUGGUACUCCUGUUUUGAUGCUUAUUAUACUACCUCUUGCGUGUUCCUGUGAAAGUGGCCACAAUAAAAACCAGAUCACCGAGGAUUACCGCAAUAUCAUUAGGAUACAGCUGAAGCACGUUGAGGCCAUUAAUGAACAACUAAAUUCAAACUGCACAAUAAGAAAUGUCAGCAUGUCGGAGCCAAAAAAUGCACAACAGUCCAUCCACAGAAAAAUCUGCAGGGUUAACGGAAAACUGAGGAGAAUCGGGAGGGAAUCAGAGAAUGUAAAUGGACAACUAAAAGAUGUUUUAUAUAAACUUGUGGAAGAAAUAAAUGCGUCCUUGAGAUGUUGGUGCCAUCAGAAGAGGGAGGGGACAAAAAAUCCAAAACAGCAAAUACGAAAGUGGAAGAUUUGCAGAGUGAAAGACAUUCUUGCCAAAUUACAGAGACAAUUUGAGCAAUACAAUGCGUAUCUGUCCCUCAGCACAGACCUUCCAGAGCGUGGGAAGACUUCAGAGCAAACCGUUAUAUAAUACUUGGCCUCCAUCCAUCUCUACUACAACAAAUUAAUGUACAGAAUAUGAAGUAACUGGACUAACCAUGUACCUUUCACACUAUUCAGUAUUUGUCUGAAGACAAACAAUGCUUUUUAUGGGAAAAUACAUGCUAAGCAUAAACAUGAAAAAUACUACUAUGCAUGAAAAUGUUUCAAAACUUUGUACUUUGUAUUGUUAUUUUUGCUAUUGAUUGCUGAACGAGUAGAGUUUAACUGUACAUUGCUGUGACACAAAGUUGGCGUCAAAGCCUAUAUUAUAUUAAUUCUCUAGGCCUCAAGUUAGAACUUUAUAAUCUACACAUACUUCUUAUUUGGGGAAGCGACCCUAUUCAGCCCACCCAAUUCCAAAUCUUAUACGUUUUUUCAAUUAAUUCUGAGAAAGCCGAAGUUUAAGCUCUCAUUGAAACACUUGUUUUUUUCAAACAAAAUUGAAUUGCUUUAUUUAAUUGCAAACCUCUGAAAUGGGCAUAUAAGUACACAUAUAUAAUUCCAGCACCUAUUUAACAAUAACCAAACAACUUUUUAUAUGGCUGUUUCUUUAGAAACCGUUUUUAAGAAAGUCAGCAGAUUUAUCUUUUCUUUGGUUCAUCUAUCAGGACCCAGUUUUUCACUGUUAGUUUCAGGUUUUUCUUUUCAACUCCAUUUUUUUUAUGUUGUUUUGACAAAGCAGCACGUUUGUGAACCUUCCCUUAUUUUUAGGCCAGUAUUUCCAGUUCGGGGAGGCAUAACAACUGUAGCAAUUGUUGGGCCCAAUAUAAAACUUUCAAUACGGGUCCCCCAGUAAUCUGGAUCACAUUCCGUACCCCUUUUGCAGUAGCAAGUCUUGACUUUUUUUUUUUUUUACCCAGCAUACAAUGACAAAUAUUGUAAGUAGGUAAAGUUAAUGAACUGGAUGUGCUCCAAACGCAGUGAAUUUAGUUAAUGCUUUUUAUAUGUGGUUCCUAGUUUUGUGGGUUAUCAAUAGAACCAUUCCUUAUAAAGCCUCUUGAAAAGAAUCAUAUUUAUGUAUUAUAAUAACAGACAAAACAUUAAACUUUGUCUUUGACACAAAUGGUUCCAUUUAAUGUGGUUGUCCACAGUUUUUACUGUUUUUCUUUCUACCACAUCUAUCUUUGUGAGCAAAACUCUGCAUUCCACACUAACUACAGAGGCUCAAGAUUUUCAGACACAGAAUAUUGCUUUUAAAUACCAAGAAAAUCAUA